rnacentral:rRNA from 1 species
CCUACGGGUGGCAGCAGUGAGGAAUAUUGGUCAAUGGUCGGGAGACUGAACCAGCCAAGCCGCGUGAGGGAGGAAGGUACAGAGUAUCGUAAACCUCUUUUGUCAGGGAACAAAGUCGGGGACGUGUCCCCGGCUGAGUGUACCUGACGAAAAAGCAUCGGCUAACUCCGUGCCAGCAGCCGCGGUAAUACGGAGGAUGCGAGCGUUAUCCGGAUUUAUUGGGUUUAAAGGGUGCGCAGGCGGUCUGUUAAGUCAGCGGUCAAAGCCCGGGGCUCAACCCCGGCCCGCCGUUGAAACUGGCAGUCUCGAGUGGGAGAGAAGUAGGCGGAAUGCGCGGUGUAGCGGUGAAAUGCAUAGAUAUCGCGCAGAACUCCGAUUGCGAAGGCAGCAUGCCGGCUCCACACUGACGCUGAGGCACGAAAGCGUGGGUAUCGAACAGGAUUAGAUACCCGGGUAGUC